CCGAAUACAUUAGCAUGGGAUAAUGGAAUAGGACCCUGUCCUCCUAUUUUCAGUUGGUUUUGGCAGCGCGAGGACUAGGGUAAUGAUUAAUAGGGAUAGUUGGGGGCAUUAAUAUUUAAUUGUCAGAGGUGAAAUUCUUGGAUUUAUGAAAGAUUAACUUCUGCGAAAGCAUCUGCCAAGGAUGUUUUCAUUAAUCAAGAACGAAAGUUAGGGGAUCGAAGACGAUCAGAUACCGUCGUAGUCUUAACCAUAAACGAUGCCGACCAGCGAUUAGGAGACGUUGAAUACAAAACACCACCAUCGGCGCGGUCGUCCUUGGCGUCGGUUUCGGCCGGCGCGGGGGCGGCUUAGCCCGGUGGCACCGGUGAA
rnacentral:rRNA from 1 species